GCCAGAGUGUUUCCUAGUGGUCUAGGGUUCAGGGUUCAAACCUGUAGCUGUCUAGCUACUGAGUGGUUUAAUUCCACCUUCCAGGCA